CAGCAGCCGCGGUAAAACAGAGGGUGCGAGCGUUAAUCGGAUUUACUGGGCGUAAAGCGUGCGUAGGCGGCUUUUUAAGUCGGAUGUGGAAUCCCUGAGCUUAACUUAGGAAUUGCAUUCGAUACUGGGAAGCUAGAGUAUGGGAGAGGAUGGUAGAAUUCCAGGUGUAGCGGUGAAAUGCGUAGAGAUCUGGAGGAAUACCGAUGGCGAAGGCAGCCAUCUGGCCUAAUACUGACGCUGAGGUACGAAAGCAUGGGGAGCAAACAGGAUUAGAUACCCCAGUAGUCCCUGUCUCUUAUAC
rnacentral:rRNA from 1 species